CAAAGAUAUUUUUCUUUUUGUAUUAAUCUUUAAUGAAAAGUAUAAAUACACCUCCUAAAAAUAGUGGAAAGUUCAGAAAAGGGAUAUCCAGUGGAAAGUAAAUCCUUUCAGAAAUGUUCUAUGUACAUACACACAUUUUAUAUAUAACUCUGUGUAUCAACUUAUUCCUUGCUUUUUUUUUUCACAGGUGGGAGCAUACCAUGUACUUUUCUGUCCUUUGAUAUCUUUCACUUAUGUAAUUUUGGAGACUUUCUGGAACAGAAUGUCGACAUCAACCUCAUUUCCAGUGCUCCGUGGUUUUUCAGUGUGUCACAAAUCACCAUGCUCCGUCCACCCUUGAUUCAAUAAUACUCCCUGAGCACAUAUUGUGUGGUUGGCACCCUGCAGGGGAAGCAAAACUGAGCAAGUGCCAAGUCCUUACCUGAUCUACCACCUUCCAUGGGUCUGACAUGACCAGCCCCUCCUCCUGGCUCAGAUGGCUGGCCGGGGCCCC
rnacentral:lncRNA from 1 species